rnacentral:tRNA from 1 species
GUGGUGGUGGUUUAGUGGUAGAAUUCUUGCCUUCCAUGCAAGAGACCUGGACUCAAUUCCUGGCCAAUGCA